rnacentral:rRNA from 1 species
UACGAACGUGUGCAAACGUUAUUCGGAAUCACUGGGCUUAAAGGGUGCGUAGGCGGCUUAUCAAGUAGGGUGUGGAAAGCCCCCGGCUUAACCGGGGAAUUGCGCCCUAAACUGACGAGCUGGAGUGGGACAGGGGUGUGUGGAACUCCGGUGGAGCGGUGAAAUGUGUUGAUAUCGGAAGGAACGCCGGUGGCGAAAGCGACACACUGGGUCUCAACUGACG